rnacentral:misc_RNA from 1 species
GGAGCCCGCAUCACCCGAAUGUGGUGGUGGGGUGCUCGAAUGGCGGAGACACUGGCAAGUUUUGCCCUGGCAACGGCCGGCGGCGCCUAGUACAGCCAUCCUUGCGGUGGUGGGAGCGGUGGCUGUUGGUGCGGCUGGGGGGAGAUGUGAGCACCCUGUUGGGUCCUGAAAGAACAACCAUGGUGUUGUUGUUUCAGAGACUUGCCGGCCUCCGUGUGGGGGCUGGACGUCUGCCAGGCAUGGCCUGGCCUCGCAUACCGCCGACUGUUGGGUUGGGUUUGGUGUGGGGCUGUUGGGUUGUGGGUUGGU